UUAUAGUGAUCGGGUUUGCUUCGUAUAACCCCAAUGAUAUGGUUUGGGGGUUUCUACCAGUCCCCGUAAAGUGCUGAUUACGAAGAGUAAAGGUAAUUAA
rnacentral:ncRNA from 1 species